GACAGGUUUAAGCUGGAGUGUGAGGCUGUGGGUGUUCCUGUCCGUACCAUCAGGUGACUCUUAAACGGAACACAGUUCCUUCUGUGUUCAUGUACGCCCGUGAGGAGAUGACUGUGUUGGAGCUGAACGUCGUAACUUUAACGCGUGUUGCUGAAGGUGACCCGGCUCCUGCCACCACCUGGAUCAAGGAGGGACACUGUACAUUCUUCAGACAGAGUUCACUUGAUGGAUAAUGGUUCCCUGGUCAUUAAUUCAUCAGAAGCUUCUGAUGCGGGUGAGUACAAGUGUGUGGUGAGCAAUGAAGCCGGGGCAGCUGAAGCCACGGCUCAUCUGGUGGUCCACACGCCUCCUAUCCUCACACGUCCGCCCAUUACUUCAG